rnacentral:rRNA from 1 species
AGAGUUUGAUCAUGGCUCAGAGCGAACGCUGGCGGCAGGCCUAACACAUGCAAGUCGAACGGACCCUUCGGGGUUAGUGGCGGACGGGUGAGUAACACGUGGGAACGUGCCUUUAGGUUCGGAAUAGCUCCUGGAAACGGGUGGUAAUGCCGAAUGUGCCCUUCGGGGGAAAGAUUUAUCGCCUUUAGAGCGGCCCGCGUCUGAUUAGCUUGUUGGUGGGGUAAUGGCCCACCAAGGCUACGAUCAGUAGCUGGUCUGAGAGGAUGACCAGCCACAUUGGGACUGAGACACGGCCCAAACUCCUACGGGAGGCAGCAGUGGGGAAUCUUGCGCAAUGGGCGAAAGCCUGACGCAGCCAUGCCGCGUGUAUGAUGAAGGUCUUAGGAUUGUAAAAUACUUUCACCGGUGAAGAUAAUGACUGUAGCCGGAGAAGAAGCCCCGGCUAACUUCGUGCCAGCAGCCGCGGUAAUACGAAGGGGGCUAGCGUUGUUCGGAAUUACUGGGCGUAAAGC